rnacentral:rRNA from 1 species
GACGAACGCUGGCGGCGUGCUUAACACAUGCAAGUCGAACGGAAAGGCCCUGCUUGCAGGGUACUCGCGUGGCGAACGGGUGAGUAACACGUGGGUGAUCUGCCCUGCACUUCGGGAUAAGCCUGGGAAACUGGGUCUAAUACCGGAUAGGAGCCAUUUUUAGUGUGAUGGUUGGAAAGUUUUUUCGGUGUAGGAUGAGCUCGCGGCCUAUCAGCUUGUUGGUGGGGUAAUGGCCUACCAAGGCGGCGACGGGUAGCCGGCCUGAGAGGGUGGACGGCCACAUUGGGACUGAGAGAAGGCCCAGACACCGACGGGAGGGAGAAGUGGGGAAGAUUGCACGAUGGGCGCAAGCCGGAUGCAGCGACGCCGCGUGGGGGAUGACUGCCUUCGGGUUGUAAACUCAGUUCGCUAGGGACGAAGCUUGUUGUGACGGUACCUAGAUAAGAAGCACCGGCUAACUACGUG